rnacentral:rRNA from 1 species
UUCCUUCGGGACAGGGGAGACAGGUGGUGCAUGGUUGUCGUCAGCUCGUGUCGUGAGAUGUUGGGUUAAGUCCCGCAACGAGCGCAACCCUUAUCCUUAGUAGCCAGCACGUGAUGGUGGGCACUCUAGGGAGACUGCCAGGGAUAACCUGGAGGAAGGUGGGGAUGACGUCAAAUCAUCAUGCCCCUUAUGAUUUGGGCUACACACGUGCUACAAUGGCGUAAACAAAGGGAGGCGACCCUGCGAAGGCAAGCAAAUCCCAAAAAUAACGUCCCAGUUCGGACUGUAGUCUGCAACCCGACUACACGAAGCUGGAAUCGCUAGUAAUCGCGAAUCAGAAUGUCGCGGUGAAUACGUUCCCGGGUCUUG